UGUGUUGAGAAAGUAUUUUCGAAUAAAUUGAAUUUUUACAUUUCAGUGAAAAUAGUCCGGCUAUAUAAAAGCGCUUGUCCUCCUCCACGUAGAUCUUUCCGGUCGCAUGUUGAAGUUGGAGAAGGAUCAUGUCUAGCCACUCUCCUGAUUACAGCAGGCUGCAAUGUCAUCACCCAAGCACGGGCAAGACUGCCAUGUUUUCCAUCUUUAUCCUGCAGAAUUGGACCCAAGCUCUGGUGCUGGCCCCCACCACAGAGCUGGCUCAGCAGGUAUGCUGUGCCUGAGGUCUGGAUUAACAUCAGACCGAGGCGGCAUAUUUGGACAACUAAAAAGGUAUAUUUUUCCGUAAUUCUUCCUGCAAAAUCACUUGGGUUAAAGGUGGUGACGAUCUCUUUUGGGAUUAUUGUUGUCAAUGACUGCAUUAAUCUGAAAGUUGGCCUGACUACUCAGCAAGGGAUUUCUGUUCUGUAACAAGUGAGUGAAAUGAUGGCAUUUCAUCUUUCGGGACAGACCUGAUAAUGGUGACAACCUCUUAUACUGAUCACUCAAGACCGUUUGUCCUGUAUAAUACAUUGGCGCCAAGAGCAAAUCACCAUGAAGUUCUUGUUUUGUCUGUUUUCUUAGAUCCUAAGUUAGGCACUAAUGUCCGCAAAGAGAUGCAGAAGCUGCAGACUGGGUCCCCCUGCAUAGUGGUACGAACUCCAGGCUGGAUGUUUGAUGCUUAACGGGUGACGUCUGUAAGUACUCAUCAGUGAAAGUAUCUGCUAUCUGACUGGCUUGUAUUCAAAUGAAAUUGUAUUUGUCACAUGCACCAAAUACAACAGGUAUAGAUCAACAUUACUGUGAAAUGUGUGAUUAUAAGCUUUUAGACAAAAAUGCAGAGUUCAGAAAAUAUAUGUAUAUGUUUCUAUUUUAUAUGCUUCAGAUUUCUUAGUUUGGCUUGACCAUGGUGCAGAUUUUAAGUUGUGCCCAUUUUACUUGUAAAUAUAUAUAUUGAUUUCUGGAUUAAAUUCUAGAGGCUUGUCUCAUCCCCAGCCACCCCCACUUCCAUAUAAAAGAACUGUGCUAAAAUUGCAGAAUCCAGGUAACCCUUGGUUUAGGCAAUAAUGCUAGCAGAGUAUAGUGUGGAAGGAGAGCAUUUUGCACUGUGCCGGAAAAGAGUUGUGGUCGAACCUCUUUCUUAAUGUUCGUUGACCUCAUGUCUCGAGGCCCAGUACAACAAUUAGUCUGAUUUAAGAUUAGUUCAUUUCCUCCCAUUGUGAUUUUUACUGGUUUCUUUAAAUGCUGCGCAGGUGGUCCUCCUCUCCUGUCAGCCACCAUGCCUACUGAUGUGCUGGGGGUGACCAAGAAGUUCAUGGGAGAGCCCAUUGGCAUUCUGGUGAAAUAAAAGGAAUUUCCCUAGAGGGUAUUAAGCAGUUCUACAUCAAUGUAGAGAGGAGUGGAAGUUGGACACAUUGUGCAACCUGUACGGGAUGCCAACAGUCACUCCGACAGGCAUCUUCCUCAACACCAGGAGGAUCUGCUGGCUGACUGAGAAGAUUCACUCAAGGGGCUUCACGAUCUCUGCUCUGCAUGGCGGCAUGGACCAGAAGGAGAGGGAUGUCAUCACCAGGGAGUUCAGGUCUGGCUCCAGCAGGGUACUCAUCGCUACGGACUUAUUGGCUCGGAAUUGAUGUGCAGCAGGUUCCUUGGUCACCUUCCUACAAAGAGGGAGAAUAAUAUUUGCAGAAUUGGUCGUGGUGGCUGUUUUGGCAGGAAAGGUGUGGCUGUAAACUGGGCGAGGAGGAGAAGUGUGUUCUUCGGGACAUCAAGACGUUUCGCUAUAACAGUGGAUGAGAUGCCUUUGAAUGUGGCUGACCUGAUUUGAACCUGGGUGUUGAGGAUGAAUAUUGCUAGCGGUCUUACACUCAUUGUGUUCAUUUGCGCAUUGUGGUAAGUUUGCCCAUCUUGAAUCAGACUUCUGAUAUUUGUAAGAUAUGGUGGUCUCAUGGACAGGUUAGACUCAACAACUAAUAUAAUAAUAAUAUGCCAUUUAGCAGACACUUUUAUCCAAAGCGACUUACAGUCAUGUGUGCAUACAUUCUAUGUAUGGGUGGUCCCGGGGAUCGAACCCACUACCCUGGCGUUACAAACGCCAUGCUCUACCAACUGAGCUACAGAAGGACAACUGUCCAUGAGACCAAGUCUGAUUCAAGAUAGGCCAACGUACCUCAAUGCUCUGGGCACUUUGGACACAGCAGAGCUUCUCACAAUGGAGUGAGUCCUUACGACUACUACACCUGGUUAUCAGCGGAGCCUUGUCUGACAGCAACCAUUAUAUCAGCCUCAUAUUCUACCUUUUAAUAAAACAAAAUUAAACAUGGCUGAAAAUGUGUUUUAUACUGACAAUUGUUAAUACUGUGGCAUAAGGGGACAAGUGGAAAAGAGACUAUGGUUAAUAUCUGUACUUUCUGUAUUUUGCCAACUUCCCAUUCCUAAAGAUGUUUUAUUUUACUCCACACAUUUUCCCUGCCACUCAAUGCGUUUCAUUUUGAAUGCUUAGCAGGCCAUGCAAAUUGUAUAAUUCACACACUUAUCAAGAGAUCAUCCAUGGUCAUCCCUACUG